rnacentral:rRNA from 1 species
UGGGGAAUAUUGCACAAUGGGCGCAAGCCUGAUGCAGCCAUGCCGCGUGUGUGAAGAAGGCCUUCGGGUUGUAAAGCACUUUCAGCGAGGAGGAAGGGUAGUGUGUUAAUAGCACAUUGCAUUGACGUUACUCGCAGAAGAAGCACCGGCUAACUCCGUGCCAGCAGCCGCGGUAAUACGGAGGGUGCAAGCGUUAAUCGGAAUUACUGGGCGUAAAGCGCACGCCGGCGGUUUGUUAAGUCAGAUGUGAAAGCCCCGCGCUUAACGUGGGAACUGCAUUUGAAACUGGCAAGCUAGAGUCUUGUAGAGGGGGGUAGAAUUCCAGGUGUAGCGGUGAAAUGCGUAGAGAUCUGGAGGAAUACCGGUGGCGAAGGUGGCCCCCUGGACAAAGACUGACGCUCAGGUGCGAAAGCGUGGGGAGCAAACA